rnacentral:rRNA from 1 species
GUGGGGAAUAUUGCACAAUGGGCGAAAGCCUGAUGCAGCAACGCCGCGUGAGGGACGACGGCCUUCGGGUUGUAAACCUCUUUUAGUAGGGAAGAAGCGAAAGUGACGGUACCUGCAGAAAAAGCACCGGCUAACUACGUGCCAGCAGCCGCGGUAAUACGUAGGGUGCAAGCGUUAUCCGGAAUUAUUGGGCGUAAAGAGCUCGUAGGCGGUCUGUCGCGUCUGCUGUGAAAACUGGAGGCUCAACCUCCAGCCUGCAGUGGGUACGGGCAGACUAGAGUGCGGUAGGGGAGAUUGGAAUUCCUGGUGUAGCGGUGGAAUGCGCAGAUAUCAGGAGGAACACCGAUGGCGAAGGCAGAUCUCUGGGCCGUAACUGACGCUGAGGAGCGAAAGCGUGGGGAGCAAACAGGAUUAGAUACCCUGGUAGUCC